GUUUUUGUAGUUGAAUACAACGGCGGUUUUUCAGACCGCAGGUCCGGCUGAGUUGCCGGCGAAAAUU
rnacentral:tRNA from 1 species